rnacentral:piRNA from 1 species
UUUUGUUUUAUUGGCAAAGGUGAAGUACAG